UACGGGAGGCAGCAGUAGGGAAUCUUCCGCAAUGGACGAAAGUCUGACGGAGCAACGCCGCGUGAACGAUGAAGGCUUUCGGGUCGUAAAGUUCUGUUGUUAGGGAAGAACAAGUACCAGAGUAACUGCUGGUACCUUGACGGUACCUAACCAGAAAGCCACGGCUAACUACGUGCCAGCAGCCGCGGUAAUACGGAGGGUGCGAGCGUUAAUCGGAAUUACUGGGCGUAAAGGGCACGCAGGCGGUUAAUAAGUUGGAUGUGAAAUCCCCGGGCUUAACCUGGGAAUGGCAUUCAAGACUGGUUAGCUAGAGUCUUGUAGAGGGGGGUUAGAAUUCCAUGUGUAGCGGUGAAAUGCGUAGAGAUGUGGAGGAAUACCGGUGGCGAAGGCGGCCCCUGGACAAAGCUGACGCUCAUGUGCGAAAGCGUGGGGAGCAAACAGGGAUUAGAUACCCGU
rnacentral:rRNA from 1 species